ACCACUAUUGCUCACGUCGUUAUUACCUGCUAAUUUGUUAAUAUCAGCUGGCAAAGAUUCUGCUUUUUGAGUACCGUGGUAGGUGCUGACUGUUUAUUGCGUUUAAUUUUAACUUUCAAUGACUUGUUUUCUGCUGAUGUACGAAGUACAUCCGUAGUGCUAUAAUUGCUUUUAUCUGUGUCAGUAUUGCUGUAAUUAAACAUUUCCGAUGGCUUGAAAACAGUCUUUUCGCCAGAUUGUUUGUCACGAUAAGGUUUCAUGCGCUGGUAUGCUACUUCCUGGAUAUUGCUUAAAUCAGAUAGUAACUUUACUAUCGCUGUAUUUGGACGUGGUAUGUCAUGCAUAACAAACGGUGUAUCAUAACGGCUACGUAAUGAUUUAUUUUCAUCUUUAGACUGCUCUGCUUUUCGUAACAGUAUGUAAUCGCCGACGUGAAAAUCGCCAUCGACUUUCUUACGAUUGUACUGCUCUGCUAAUGCUUCGUAACCUUGCUUUAUAUAAAUACGGGCAGUUUCAUGCGCCCGAUUAAUUUCCACUUUAAACGAUAUAAAUAAUCUUUCACAGAGUCAUAAUCUUCAGGAAGAUUAGUCUUAGUAAUGUAUCAAUGGGCAACGUUUGCUACCUACCAUAAAGCAUGUAAAACGGCGAAUGCUUCGUAGUUUUAUGUACUGUCCGAUUAUUGCCGCAACAACGAAAGGAAGAAAAUCAUCCCAGCGACCCUGGGUGCCUUUCUGGGCAUACAUGGAUAAGCUACCUGCAAUCCACUGCAUCUGUCUCUCUACUAAACCUCGACCAAUGCCUUGAUAUGCGGCGUACGCUCUUUAAUGCUAGUUGCCAAUACCAACGGACCAUCGACCUCUUGUCUCGUCGUCUCCAUAAUGCCGAUUAAAGGGCCUUUUUUAAUGAUGCGCUUCUGAUUACUGAAAUUAGCGAUCUGUACAUCGAAUGCUCUAUUCUCCGGUUUUACUAGUCCUUCCAUCGGUACUAGUCUUGCUUUAGAAUAUAAUGCUGGAUUAGCUGAGAACAUGAAUAAUUCAGUUUUAAACUCUUGCCCGUUUUUCGGCUUAGCAAAAACAGAUGUCCAGGUUGCUUCUUUAGCGGGUAAUGAACGAAUCUGACGCAUAGACGUUUACUGCUCUAAUGCGAAGUUUUCCUUUUAUUUCUAGUUCCUCUAUUGCUGUAAUAUUAUUAAUAAAUGCUUCAGUAUCUG